rnacentral:rRNA from 1 species
GUGGGGGAGUAACGCAGCGGAAGCUGUGCUAAUACCGCAUACGAUCAAUGGAUGAAAGCGGGGGACCGUAAGGCCUCGCGCGAUUGGAGCGGCCGAUGUCAGAUUAGGUAGUUGGUGGGGUAAAGGCCUACCAAGCCAACGAUCUGUAGCUGGUCUGAGAGGACGACCAGCCACACUGGGACUGAGACACGGCCCAGACUCCUACGGGAGGCAGCAGUGGGGAAUUUUGGACAAUGGGCGCAAGCCUGAUCCAGCAAUGCCGCGUGCAGGAAGAAGGCCUUCGGGUUGUAAACUGCUUUUGUACGGAACGAAACGGUCUGGAUUAAUACCCUGGGCUAAUGACGGUACCGUA